GGUCAAAGCGGGCCACUAUACAUAAGCUCGCGCUUCGAGAUGAGCCUGCGGCCCAUCAUGGUAGUUGGUAGGGUAAUGGCCUACCAAGCCGAAGACGGGUAGCUGGUCUGAGAGGAUGAUCAGCCACACUGGAACUGAGACACGGUCCAGACUCCUACGGGAGGCAGCAUGGGGAAUCUUGCGCAAUGGGCGAAAGCCUGACGCAGCGACGCCGCGUGAGUGAUGAAGGCCUUCGGGUUGUAAAGCUCUGUGGAGGGGGACGAAUAAGGGUUGGCUAACAUCCAGCUCGAUGACGGUACCCCUUUAGCAAGCACCGGCUAACUCUGUG
rnacentral:rRNA from 1 species